rnacentral:rRNA from 1 species
CAGUCGCCGCGGUAAUACGAAGGGUGCAAGCGUUAAUCGGAAUUACUGGGCGUAAAGCGUGCGUAGGCGGUGAGUUAAGUCUGCUGUGAAAUCCCCGGGCUCAACCUGGGAAUGGCAGUGGAUACUGGCUCGCUAGAGUGUGUCAGAGGAUGGUGGAAUUCCCGGUGUAGCAGUGAAAUGCGUAGAGAUCGGAAGGAACAUCUGUGGCGAAGGCGACUAUCUGGGCCAACACUGACACUGAGGCACGAAAGCGUGGGGAGCAAACAGGAUUAGAUACCCCCGUAGUCCCUGUCUCUUAUAC